UAGGGAAUCUUCCGCAAUGGGCGAAAGCCUGACGGAGCAACGCCGCGUGAGUGAUGAAGGUCUUCGGAUCGUAAAACUCUGAUAUUAGGGAAGAACAAAUGUGUAAGUAACUAUGCACGUCUUGACGGUACCUAAUCAGAAAGCCACGGCUAACUACGUGCCAGCAGCCGCGGUAAUACGUAGGUGGCAAGCGUUAUCCGGAAUUAUUGGGCGUAAAGCGCGCGUAGGCGGUUUUUUAAGUCUGAUGUGAAAGCCCACGGCUCAACCGUGGAGGGUCAUUGGAAACUGGAAAACUUGAGUGCAGAAGAGGAAAGGGGAAUUCCAUGUGUAGCGGUGAAAUGCGCAGGGAUAUGGAGGAACACCAGUGGCGAAGGCGACUUUCUGGUCUGUAACUGACGCUGAUGUGCGAAAGCGUGGGGAUCAAACAGG
rnacentral:rRNA from 1 species